rnacentral:lncRNA from 1 species
GUGAUUCACAGCCCGAUUUAUGCUUGUAUGAUCAUCAUUUGACUUCAUUGUGGCUACAUUUGGGUACAUUUGGGUAAUUAGUGGGACCGUAUUUUUACAGCUAGCAAGAGUAUGAGGAAAGCCACUUAGUUCUUGGCGAAUUGUAACCAUGGUAGGUCUACAGGAAUUAAGUAGUGGGGCUGUGGCAGAAUCCUAUUACUAUUUACAAACUACAUAUUCAGGUAACCUGUUCGGUUGAUGCUCCAGUGUACUAUAGGUGUGAUCUCUGUGUUAGGUGGUUUUGUGAAAAGUAUGCCAUUAUGUUUGUAUACUGUACUUGAAGUUGUAUUGUACUUCACAGUGUAUCAAACAGGAAGUGUUUCAAACAGGAAGUGUAUUGUUGGUACUCCAGUGUACGAUGUAUAAGGGUAGUGUGGUGUCUUGUUUAAAGAUACACCAAGUAUGGGUGAUUGUGGAAUACGUAAGGUACCUUGUUGACAAGUGUCUUACCCUCGAGUCAUGCCACCUCAGGUUAGAAGUAAAGUCAGAAAGUAUAGUAAUUGUUGAAGUAGUGGGACAGAGAGAGAAAGUAAAGUAAGGUAUUUUAGGAAGUAGAUCCCCUUCAUUGGUUUUUUCCCCUGCCCCUACAAUGGUGACAGCUGUAGGGAUGUAAUUUAAUAUGGUAUCAAGUUGGGAAGAAUGAACGUGGUGCUGUGGGCAGUUUUUAUCUGUGAUUCGUAAUAACCAUUUCUCUGUACGGGUACCUAAUAACCAUUUCUCUGUAUCUAGUGAUUAUUCCAGUUUGCUAAUAAGUUUUUAUUUUUUUGUGAAUUCUGUACGAGUUAGGUAGGGACAUAAUUAUUCCAUAGGUACUUAUUGUUUUUGUGGAAACAGUGUUGAUGGAGUGUACAGAAUUUUUUCUUUGUGUUUUGGCGGAGAAUUGAAAGAACAUUUUACAGUUAAAUAUUUUACUUGGAAGUUAGACAGUGAGAAUAUGUUUGGGCCAUGGCAUUAGUGUUUUGGUAAAGUAUUUCAUCACAGUAGUCGUCCAAGGUUAAGUGGAUGUGUACUUUGUAGCUGUAACAUUCAUUAAAUAUUUAUGUGUUAGGUAGGACAUGGCCUAACGUUUAAUAUUUUGUAGUGUGUGUAUUGAUAUUCCUGUAUAAUUUUUGUGUAUGCUGUAUGCUUUUUGAUUUUAACGAUAUAUUUUAGAAGGUGCUAACCUAAGAUUUUAAAUGCAGAGUGGUUCAUUUUUGGCCUUGUGUGGAGUAGCUAACUUUAUUGUUGGUAUUUGUGGUGCUCUGUUAUGUGAGAUCUAAUGCCCAGUAUAAUUUCAGAGUAUUGCCUUUGAUUGUGUUUGAGGACCUUACGGUGAUACUGUAUGUGGACACCAAGUGGAUGCAACCUUUCAAAAUAGAUUCUUGUACAGUGUAUGAACCCGCAAUUACAAAGGUGUGAUUGGACAGAUGUAAGAAAGAAAUAUUAUGGUAGCAUCAGGAGGCCAUCCCACACAAACAUCUCCCACCACAACCAAGAAUUAAAGCUCUAUAAAACAAGAGGCAGAACAAUUCCUCACAACUGUACAAUAAGUCGAUACAGUAUGAGGAUUAGUGAACAUCUUCUAGAGAACAUUGCAAGCAAGAUUAAGGUAAAUUGUCAACUCUUCAAGUCUUAAGUUACAAAUAUGAAAGUCAAGUUCGCAUUCUAGGAAACAGUGAGAAUAAAAAGAACGUUCACACGAGUGGAUCUUUCUCCUGAAAAUGUCAGCUAAGUGUUGCACUGUGUUAUAUAUUGUUUAACUACAGUAUGAUGAGUGUUGCAAUGUUUCUACCUAAACAUUUACCUUGUGACUCUUGUGCUUGUGUACACUGCUGAUAAAAGUUCCAAUAUAUAAAUGUGACAAGUGCUUGUCUGCUGUGUUUGUAUACUGGUGAGAUAAAGUUCACUUGUGGUAAAUAUUUCUCAUACAAUAGUGAGCUCAAGAACCACACACAUGUGCAGAAUUAUUUAUGCCAAUUUAGCUGUGAACACUGAAGGAAGUAUUUUCUUGUAUGGAGUGUUGUAAAGUGUGUAAAAGAUGGCCCAGUUUAUGAAUGAAAUGGAUGGACAUGGUGGCCAAAAUAAUUAUGAGUGUGUACAGUGUGGUGAAUUAUUUUACAGUAAUGAAUCUUUGAAGAUGCAUACCUGUAUGGCUGAACACAUUGAUGAGAUAGAUAUUAAGUAUGAAGAAGUUGAUGAGAGUUUUAACAGUAACUAUGAUGUGACACAACAUGUGACUGUUGAUGAGAAAGAUAUUAAGUGUGAAGAGUUUGAUGAGAGUUUUAACAGUAACUAUGAUGUGACACAACAUGUGACUGUUGAUGAGAAAGAUAUUAAGUGUGAAGAGUUUGAUGAAAGUUUUAACAGUAAUUAUGAUGUG